AAGUCGUAACAAGGUCUCCGUAGGUGAACCUGCGGAAGGAUCAUUAACACGUAUCCACGUAUCAACCCUUGUGCUCUCUGUUUUGGAAAGGAAUAUCAACUGAGACGGAAAGGGCACGCAAGUGCGUUUUGUGUCUCUUUUGAAUUUCCAAUCUAACCUUUUUAUUUAUUUUCUUUAAACCCUUUGUACCUUUCUUACUGAAACUUGAUUGUCUUUUUGUUUUCGCGAAGAGAGCUUCGGCUCCUCUUUGUGGAAAGAAAAACAAUUAUUUUACGAAAUGCUUGACAACUCUUAGCAACGGAUAUCUUGGUUCUC
rnacentral:misc_RNA from 1 species